AGUUCAAGAUUCAAUAUAUUGACGUAUGUGUAGUUAAGGGAUGACAAUGAUAAUGCAAGAAAGUAGAAAAGCACAUUUGUUCUUCCAGCAAGAUAUGCUCUUUCUCAGAAUACAUUCAUGAAAAAGACGUUGAGGUAGAAAUUCAUUCAAACUUCUUAUCACCGCACGUGCCAUUUUCCUAUAGGCAAGUUUGAUGCAAAUACGUUUUAGAGACGCUUAGCUAAUACUAUGAAGAGCUGCCCUCUAAUUUUUAAGUGCUCUAUCACAUGAUCAAGGAAGAGUUGUGAGCAGAUCAACUGUGUCUAUCCACCCUUUCUUGGUAGAUGCUUUUGGUAGUUAUCUUCCAACUGAUGAGAAUGAUCAUUCAUCAAAUGAACACAUGACAUGGA